CAGCCGUAAACAAUGUGCGUUAGGUUGUGUCGGUAACCACGUGUUACUGAUGCGGCCGAAGACGAAAUCGUGAAACGCACCACCUGGGAAGUACGGUCGCAAGGCUCGAAACUUAAAGGAAUUGGCGGGGGAGCACCACAACAGGUGGAGCCUGCGGUUUAAUUGGAUUCAACGCCGGACAUCUCACCGGAUAAGACAGCUGAAUGAUUGUCAAUCUGAAGGUUUUACAUGACUAGCUGAGAGGAGGUGCAUGGCGUCAGUGACU
rnacentral:rRNA from 1 species